AGGACGAACGCUGGCGGCGUGCUUAACACAUGCAAGUCGAACGAUGAACCACUUCGGUGGGGAUUAGUGGCGAACGGGUGAGUAACACGUGGGCAAUCUGCCCUGCACUCUGGGACAAGCCCUGGAAACGGGGUCUAAUACCGGAUAACACUACGGGCCUCAUGGUCUGUGGUUAAAAGCUCCGGCGGUGCAGGAUGAGCCCGCGGCCUAUCAGCUUGUUGGUGAGGUAAUGGCUCACCAAGGAGACGACGGGUA
rnacentral:rRNA from 1 species